rnacentral:rRNA from 1 species
GCCAGACUCCUACGGGAGGCAGCAGUGGGGAAUAUUGCACAAUGGGGGAAACCCUGAUGCAGCAACGCCGCGUGAAGGAAGAAGGGUUUCGGCUCGUAAACUUCUCUCGAUAGGGACGAAAGAGAUGACGGUACCUAAAUAAGAAGCCCCGGCUAACUACGUGCCAGCAGCCGCGGUAAUACGUAGGGGGCAAGCGUUAUCCGGAAUUACUGGGUGUAAAGGGAGCGUAGGCGGCAAGGUAAGUAAGAUGUGAAAGCCCGCAGCUUAACUGCGAGGAUUGCAUUUUAAACUAUCUAGCUUGAGUACAGGAGAGGUAAGCGGAAUUCCUAGUGUAGCGGUGAAAUGCGUAGAUAUUAGGAGGAACACCAGUGGCGAAGGCGGCUCACUGGACUGUAACUGACGUUGAGGCUCGAAAGCGUGGGGAGCAAACAGGAUUAGAUACCCUAGUA